GUACAUGCCUACAACAUAGCGUUAAUGCACUGGAUCCCAUUAGAACUUCGCAGUUAAGCGUGCUCAGGCUAGAGUAGUACUGGAUGUUGAUAUUAUGGUAGUUGCGGGAGGUAUUUACC
rnacentral:rRNA from 1 species